UACGUAUGGAGCAAGCGUUAUCCGGAUUUACUGGGUGUAAAGGGUGCGUAGGUGGCGCAGCAAGUCCGAUGUGAAAUACCGGGGCUUAACCCCGGAGCUGCAUUGGAAACUGCUGAGCUGGAGUCCGGGAGAGGCAGGCGGAAUUCCUAGUGUAGCGGUGAAAUGCGUAGAGAUUAGGAAGAACACCAGUGGCGAAGGCGGCCUGCUGGACCGGUACUGACACUGAGGCACGAAAGCGUGGGGAG
rnacentral:rRNA from 1 species